rnacentral:misc_RNA from 1 species
GGAAGUACAAGUCGUAACAAGGUUUCCGUAGGUGAACCUGCGGAAGGAUCAUUAACAAAUCAAAAACUACUUGUUGAAACGUUACCUGUUUGCUACCUGCCAUCCGCUAGCACAUUCGUGUGACAGCGGACUCGGGGGUAGCAACGGUUAUUACCAAUUACUCUUUAUUAACUAAACAAAACACAGUUGAAAAACAAAAACAACUUUUAACAAUGGAUCUCUUGGCUCCUACAACGA